rnacentral:tRNA from 1 species
UGUCCGAUAGUGUAAUUGGUAACACGUCUGACUCUGGAUCAGAAGACUCUAGGUUCGAGCCCUAGUCGGACAA